rnacentral:misc_RNA from 1 species
AGUUCAGCUGAGACAUGGCAAAGAAGGUAGCUGUGAUCGGGGCUGGAGCCAGUGGACUGCCCGCCAUAAAAUGUUGUGUGGACGAGGGUCUGCAACCCGUCUGUUUCGAGAGAACCGAUCACAUAGGUGGUCUAUGGUACUACACGGAAGAGCCGACGGACGGACAGUCCUGUGUAAUGAAGUCCACAGUCAUCAACACCAGUAAAGAGAUGAUGUGUUACAGCGACUACCCUAUCCCAAAGGAGUACCCAAACUUCAUGCACAACAAACACGUUCUCCAGUACUUCAAUUUGUUUGCGGAGAAAUUCGAUCUUAAAAAGUAUAUACGGUUCAAAACAGAGGUGGUUAACGUAAAGAAGAGCGAGGAUUUUAAGACCUCGGGAAAAUGGAGUGUAACCACAAGAGAUGUCACCACAGGACGGACUGAAGACCACGUGUUUGAUGCCGUUAUGUUGUGUACUGGUCACCACGCCGAUAAAAACGUCCCGGAUUUUCCUGGUUUACAGGACUUUCAGGGUAAAGUCAUACAUACACACGAUUACAGAAAACCACAAGGAUAUGAAGACAAACGGGUUGUUAUCAUCGGGAUAGGGAACUCGGGGGUGGACUCCGCAGUAGAGUUAAGCCGAGUGGCUAGCCAGGUAUUUUUGAGUACUCGCAGGGGGGCGUGGAUCUUCAACCGUGUUGGAGAUAAGGGACAACCGGGUGACAUGUUAUUUUCCAACAGAGCCACAAGGGUUAUUUUGAAAUUACUGAGCUUCUUCCAAAGCACUGAUGAGAUGUUUGCAAAGAAACUGAAUGAACGAUUUGAUCAUGCCAAGUAUUCACUACAGCCCAACUUCCCUCCGUUUUCCUCGCACCCCACUAUAAAUGAUGACCUACCCAACAGAAUCAUAUGUGGCUCUAUCAAAAUCAAACCUAAUGUAAAGAAAUUUACCAAGACCGGGGUUGAAUUCGAAGACGGGACGUUUGAAGAUGACAUCGAUGCUGUGAUUUUGGCCACGGGUUACAGAUUUGGGUUCCCCUUUCUAGAUAAGUCAGUCAUCGAUGUAAUAAACAACAAGGUAGAGCUGUACAAAUCAAUGUUUCCCCCUGACCUCGAAAAAAAGACUAUGGCCUGUAUUGGAUUUAUUCAACCACUUGGCGCCAUCAUGCCUAUCUCAGAACAACAAUGUCGUCUGUUCGCCAGGGUUGUCAAGGCAAGAUGUUUAAAUGGGGUUUUUUAUAUCUCAAAGAAAGAUCUACCUUUUUCUUUCAUUUUUUGAAUCCAACGUCAUUUGUCUUGCUCUGCUCGAUAAAAUUAAUAUAGAGUCGUGGAUCGACUGUUUCCGCAUUGUAGGGAGAUGUCACGCUUCCUAGCAAAGAGGAAAUGUGGACCGAGGUCCGUAUGAAACUGGACGCCUUGCAUAAAAAAUAUGUCGAAAGUCCAAGGCAUACUAUUCAGGUGGACUACCUUAACUAUAUGGAUGAACUAUCCAAAUUGAAUGGGAAUUUUCCAUAUUUAGGCAAGUUGUUGUUGAAGGAUCCAAAACUGGCUGCGUCCGUCUUCUUUGGUCCUGUAACACCUUACCAGUACAGGGUUAUGGGUCCUGGAAAAUGGCAAGGUGCCCGAGAAGCCAUUUUCACCCAGAUGGAGAGAGUUGACUAUCCUUUUGCCACGAGGCCGCUUGGCUUUAAAAUUGAAAAAGAUCAAAAGAAAAGCUUUUGGAAAUAUUGCUUCUAUUUCUUGAUUUUAGCAUUGCUUGUUCAAUUCAUUUUCAAGUAGUCAAUGUGCUUAAACUGUGAUUUUUUUAUACAAAAUACUUUUAUAAUCUAAUCAAGAUAAAUUUCAUUUUUAUUCAGAUUUUCUAUAUAUAUUCUUUUGAGGACAGUUUUUGAAAGAAAUUUAUAUACAUGUUUUCAUACUAGAAAUUUUUUUUUUUUAAAAUGUCAGAUAUCCUUAAGGCUAAGUUCCAUUUCAAUAAAUCUUCAACAGUG